rnacentral:rRNA from 1 species
UACGUAGGGUGCGAGCGUUGCCGGAAUUACUGGGCGUAAAGAGCUCGUAGGUGGUUUGUCGCGUUGUCCGUGAAAACUCACAGCUCAACUGUGGGCGUGCGGGCGAUACGGGCAGACUGGAGUACUGCAGGGGGAGACUGGAAUUCCUGGUGUAGCGGUGGAAUGCGCAGAUAUGCGGAGGACACCGAUGGGCGAAGGCAGUCCCCUGGGCCUGUACUGACGCUCAUCGCA